rnacentral:rRNA from 1 species
UCCUACGGGAGACAGCAGUUAGGAAUAUUCGUCAAUGGGGGAAACCCUGAACGAGCAAUGCCGCGUGAGUGAUGAAGGUCUUAUUGAUCGUAAAACUCUGUUGUAGAGGAAGAACCCUUAUCAUAGGUAAUGAUGAUAAGCUGACGGUACUCUGCCAGAAAGCCCCGGCUAACUACGUGCCAGCAGCCGCGGUAAUACGUAGGGGGCGAGCGUUAUCCGGAUUUAUUGGGCGUAAAGCGUGUGUAGGCGGUUUAUUAAGUUUAAGAUUAAAGCCCGGAGCUCAACUCCGGUUCGUCUUAAAAACUGGUAGACUUGAGUGUAGUAGAGGCAAGUGGAAUUUCUAGUGUAGCGGUUAAAUGCGUAGAUAUUAGAAGGAACACCAGUGGCGAAGGCGGCUUGCUGGGCUAUUACUGACGCUGAGACACGAAAGCGUGGGGAGCAAAUAGGAUUAGAUACCCUAGUAGUCCACGCCGUAAACGAUGAGUACUAAGUGUCGGGAGACCGGUGCUGAAGUUAACACAUUAAGUACUCCGCCUGAGUAGUACGGUCGCAAGGCUGAAACUCAAAGGAAUUGACGGGCACCCGCACAAGCGGUGGAGCAUGCUGUUUAAUUCGAAGAUACGCGAAGAACCUUACCUAGACUUGACAUCCCUGGCAAAACUAUAGAAAUAUAGUGGAGGUUACCCAGGUGACAGGUGGUGCAUGGUUGUCGUCAGCUCGUGUCGUGAGAUGUUCGGUUAAGUCCGAUAACGAGCGCAACCCUUAUUUCUAGUUGCUAACAUUUAGUUGAGUUCUCUAGUAAUACUGCCGGUGAUAAACCGGAGGAAGGUGGGGAUGACGUCAAAUCAUCAUGCCCCUUACGUCUAGGGCUACAGGCGUGCUACAAUGGCCGAUACAAAAAGACGCAAAACCGUGAGGUUGAGCAAAUCUCUAAAAUCGGUCCCAGUUCGGAUUGGAGUCUGCAACUCGACUCCAUGAAGUUGGAAUCGCUAGUAAUCCUGAAUCAGAAUGUCAGGGUGAAUACGUUCCCGGGUGUUGUACACACCGCCCGUCACGCUAUGAGAGUCUGUAAUACCCGAAGUUGGUAGCCUAACCUUUUAGGAGGGGGCCAAUUAUGGUAGGACAGGUGAUUGGAGUGAAGUCGUAACAAGGUAUCCCUACCGGAAGGUGGGGAUG